ensembl:snoRNA
CAUUAGAAGUGUUGCCAAAUCUGAGCAUUAGAAGUCCUUCUAAUCUAUGUGAUGCAGGAUCUCUGUAGUUCUGAGA